rnacentral:rRNA from 1 species
GAGACCGGCGCACGGGUGCGUAACGCGUAUGCAAUCUACCUUUUACAGAGGGACAGCCCAGAGAAAUUUGGAUUAAUACCUCAUAGUAUAACAUGACCGCAUGGUUAAGUUAUUAAAGUUACAACGGUAAAAGAUGAGCAUGCGUCCCAUUAGUUAGUUGGUAAGGUAACGGCUUACCAAGACGAUGAUGGGUAGGGGUCCUGAGAGGGAGAUCCCCCACACUGGUACUGAGACACGGACCAGACUCCUACGGGAGGCAGCAGUGAGGAAUAUUGGACAAUGGGCGCAAGCCUGAUCCAGCCAUGCCGCGUGCAGGAAGAAGCAUCUAUGGUGUGUAAACUGCUUUUAUACGAGAAGAAACACCCCGACGUGUCGGGGCUUGACGGUAUCGUAAGAAUAAGGACCGGCUAACUCCGUGCCAGCAGCCGCGGUAAUACGGAGGGUCCAAGCGUUAUCCGGAAUCAUUGGGUUUAAAGGGUCCGUAGGCGG